UACGUAGGGGGCAAGCGUUGUCCGGAAUCAUUGGGCGUAAAGCGCGCGUAGGCGGCCCGGUAAGUCCGCUGUAAAAGUCCAGGGCUCAACCCUGGAAAGCCGGUGGAUACUGUCGGGCUCGAGUCCGGAAGAGGCGAGUGGAAUUCCUGGUGUAGCGGUGGAAUGCGCAGAUAUCAGGAGGAACACCGAUGGCGAAGGCAGCUCGCUGGGACGGUACUGACACUGAGGCGCGAAAGCGUGGGGAGCAAACAGG
rnacentral:rRNA from 1 species